rnacentral:rRNA from 1 species
CCGAUAGCGUAUAUUAAAGUUGUUGCAGUUAAAAAGCUCGUAGUUGAACUUCGGGGUUUACUCAUUGGUCAGGCUUAAUCGUCUGUACUGGUGAGAUGAAUCUCUACCUUCUGAGGAACUUUCAUGUCAUUUAUUUGGUGUGAUUGGAAAUCAGGACUGUUACUUUGAAAAAAUUAGAGUGUUUAAAGCAGGCUAACGUCUGAAUACAUUAGCAUGGAAUAAUGAAAUAGGACGGACUGAUUCUAUUUCGUUGGUUUCUAGGAUCACCGUAAUGAUGAAUAGGGAUAGUUGGGGGCAUUAGUAUUCAAUUGUCAGAGGUGAAAUUCUUGGAUUUAUUGAAGACUAACUACGGCGAAAGCAUUUGCCAAGGAUGUUGUCAUUAAUCAAGACCGAAAGUUAGGGGAUCGAAGACGAUCAGAUACCGUCGUAGGCUUAACCAUAAACUAUGCCGACUAGGGAUCGGACGAAGUUAAUUUUAUCAUGACGCGUUCGGCACCUUACG